UAUAGUUCAGCCCUCCAAUGGUCUGAGGGGCAGUGAACUGGCCCCCUGUUUAAAAAGUUUGGGGACCCCUGUGACUUAAAGUAUUUGCUGAAGGAGAUGGCAUUUAACCGGGAUUGUUAAGGAUGAGUAGAAUUUCAAAGGGGGGAUUAUUAUUCAAUUCAGGCACACCUCCACGUGCUGGUAUGUUAAGUACCCCUACCAGGCAACAUAAUUCCUUUAACCUACCUUAAAAGCACCUGUCCCCAGAGGUCUUAAUGGGAUCAUGGUAUCGUUGAAAACUUGGGGUCCCGUGGUUGGCCUUCCUCCGCCUGUAUAUAAAGGGAUCGAAGCCAGAACCAACUUUUAUUCCUCUGUCUUUGCAUUUUUGGCAGUGAGCAGACACUGGUAAAAAUGAGACAAUUGACAUGUUGAAGAGAAAAUUUUCUUUCUGGAAAAAUAAGUUUGACGUUGUACAUUCAGUGUACUGUGAAUGUAUAUGCACACAAGUGGUUACAUUUAUAGCAGUACGGGCUGAGAAUGUGCAAAUGAAGUCUGAGAAGUGCCAAAUGGUUCCCUCCAGCAUCUCACAGAACUUUUCUGGUGUGAGAGGAACUUCCAAUCAGGUAACAAUUCCUUUCAGUCCAAUUUAUUAAACUAUAUUUUAAGAGGAAAGAAACCUAGGUCAGCGGGGCUAGAAUUUUAAGAAAACUAAACUAAAAGCUUUCGGCAGGGGCAUCUUUUAAAUUUUUUUCCCACUGAUUUAUUUUCAGGUUCUUCUCUCCCAUGAAAUCGUAGGCUCGCUCUGUCUCUCCGGCCCUGGUGCCAGCCACCGGGGCAGGACAGCAGGGGAGUGCUGUCCUGUGCUAUAGUCUCUGGAUUUCAUGAAGAGGUUGGUGAGCAAAAGGUUCACCCGAAGUUCUCUUCGCAGAAUCGAGCUCAUCAGAUCCUCCGAAAUGCUGUGCUCCCCACGGCAUGAAUGAAGUCUCAUAAAGUCACAGGGUUACCAUCUGCUGCCAGCGUAGGUGGCCUCUGGUUUGACUUCAGCACAUUUUCUCACCUGGAAAUCAGAAAGCCUUCUAUUAAUGUAUCCAAAAGUUAACGUGUUAAUAAUACCUUCUCCUUCCUUUUCUUUGUCCCAGUCUCACUUUUGUGAGUUAAAUACUUUUUAUUCUUUUAUUUCUCUGUUGGUUUGCUUAUUUUCAUUUUCUAAGAAAGCAAGCAAGACUUUGGGUCUUUUAAGGCAAAAUAUGCUGGUUCUGCUUAGUAAAGUUAGACCGGUGUUUCCCAAACUGUGUUCCGUGGAACACUGGUGAUUGGUGAGGUCGUUGUAGUUGUUUUGUGGGAAAUCGUUCUGCAGUCAGUUUAGUCUGGGGAAACACUAUCUGCGGUAUCUCCCUCUUGUUGCAUCUCAGCGCAUAUUAACAUAUUACAGAUGGCAAAGUCUGCAGCUGAAAAAGAAGUUAUUAACUUUGUAUAGCCCAGCAUUUGCAGAACAAUUUUUUUUUUUUUGCUUAGAAUUUUUUUCUCCCCUCAGAGCACCUCUUAACAUCCCGAGGGGCACAAAUGUUCCACAGAACACCGUACAGACCCUGCAGAAAAAGACCCUUCUCUCAUCUUGUAGGAACUUACCUAUCUGUGGUUCACGAGCUUUUUGCUGGUGGUAGCAGUUUGAUCUGGAGGCAUGAAGGGACUGAGAUUUCUUGCAGUCUAAAAGCGCACACAUUUUCCGUCAAGGACUUGCAAAGAUCUGUGCUUAAAACAGGCCGAGUUGCAACUUGAGCAUUUUCAGAGUGGUCUUCUUUACCCUAGGGGAGUAAUGACAGCCAACCUGAAGCAGUUAAGUUUUUAUCUUGUAUGAAGUCUGCUCCCUGAAUAUUUUUAUUCAUACAUCAUUCAGCAUACACGAAACCAGCUAGCUCCAUCCCACGUCUACGUGAGUCACUUUUUUUAAGUACUUUUUUUUUGAAAAGUGUCUCAUGCACAUAGAUAAUUAGAGAGAGAGAGAGAGAGAGAAAACAAGUAAAAAUAAAUCAUGUUGUUUAAUUUAAAAACCCAAAUGAAUCUUAAGAACCAAAUACAUAUGUUUCUCACUUUCUUGGAUUACCAAGAACUACCACCUUUGUUCAAGAUCCUAUUUGAGGCACGUGAGUUAGUGUUUUUUUUACCAUAAAAAUGAAUGAUAUGGAAACAGCAUGUCAAAAUAGAGGUGACACUGUAUUACUCAAUAUAAAGAAAGCAUGGAAAAGUCCACUGUAACCAUAUGCGCCAGGUUAACAGACCCCUGUAUUUCUCUUUCCAGAAAUAAUUAUGUUGUUCCGAUAGAAAGUAACUUUCCAAUUUAUGUGUUCCUCUUUCAAGAUUCUUGCCCAGGAAAUGGGAUGUUUAAAGUUAUUCAUUAUUGUGGAGUGGAUUUACUGAUUGUGUGAUAGUUAUGUCAGAAUUGGUAACCUGUUAUUACCUAUUAUUUCAUCAUUAACUUUAAUGCAUGAAAUGUGUAAUUUUAUAGCUGUCCAUUACUAUGUUAAUUUAAUGUAAUGCGAAUUGAUUGUUCAGCAAGAGCGGCACUCAUCUAAGCACACAUUUUAAAUUUAAAAACGCUAAGUGCAGUUUAACUCUGUUCUGGGCCCUGAGAGGAACUGCGUUUUGGGCUCCGCAGAACACCUACCUGCCUUUGGAAGGGCCCAACACAGUGGCGACUGGCUGAUGCAGGCAGUUGCCACUUUCCACUGCAAGCUCGGUCGGACUGUGGGGACACGCUGCCAGGAAAGGGGGCAUUUUCCAAAUGAGGACAAGUUGUGCAUUAUACCAACUUUGCAGGAAAGAGCUUAAGGUCUAUUCCUUUAAGAAAGUUAAGAGCCAAAAACACAAGGCAGCGGAGGCAUGACCCCCAGGCUUGGGCUGCCUUGGGCUCCAGAGAGAAAACAUCUUUGAAAGUUAGACUUUUCACUGCUGUUGCUGAUAGUUUCUGUAUUAUGUGAGGUGCAGACUGGGUGAGCGAUGAGGAGCCUGCAGAGAAAUAAAACACGUUGGAGAUUGUAGUCUUUAAAAGGCAACGCUAGAGUAGGCAACAGAGCUAGAUUUUGUUGGGCUCUUACUUUUCAUUUAUAUUGGGAAAUGUUGGGUCAUGUUUAUUUUGGUCUGAAGAGAUAACUCAGCCACUCCCUGCCUGACUUCCCUCUCCUUGUUUUUUGUUUUGUUUUUUUUGACUCUUGUCAGCCUUGGUCUCCAGUCAUUGGAUGCUAGGCCAUCCUUUCUUGGAAUGGGUGGAUGCCAACAUGGCAAAUCCCAGGAAAUGUCUCAUGCAAAGCUGAGACCAUCUUGAUUUUCUAUU